UCUUCUGAGUUCUGUAAACAUCAAGCAAAAAUCUGAGUUGCAAUCAGAGUUCUUCAAAGAUCUCGACAAAUACACUCCUCGCUUCCUGGAGAAGUUCAAGACCCAGAGGGGGAAAGUGUCGGACAGAAACUUGAAUAUCUGCAACAAGUCACACCUGGGAGUACAGAUGUGACUGGGAGGUGAACAGCAGUCCUCCGUGGCUCUCCCGUCAUCCUUGGAGAUAACAACGCAGACUUCUUCAAGAAUUUGAGGUUCAGGAGCAGCCAAUAUGAUGCAGGUGUGACGGCUGAAGAUGGUAGGUGUGAGUUUAGGAUGGCGUGAAGCUUCGACUUGACCCUAUGGAAACACAGCAGAUGCCACCAAAGGGUCCUGAUCGGGGACUCUGAUGACCUUCUGGACGU